AUUGAACGCUGGCGGCAGGCCUAACACAUGCAAGUCGAACGGUAACAGAAAGCAGCUUGCUGCUUUGCUGACGAGUGGCGGACGUGUGAGUAAUGUCUGGGAAACUGCCUGAUGGAGGGGGAUAACUACUGGAAACGGUAGCUAAUACCGCAUAACGUCGCAAGACCAAAGAGGGGGACCUUCGGGCCUCUUGCCAUCGGCUGUGCCCAGAUGGGAUUAGCUAGUAGGUGGGGUAACGGCUCACCUAGGCGACGAUCCCUAGCUGGUCUGAGAGGAUGACCAGCCACACUGGAACUGAGACACGGUCCAGACUCCUACGGGAGGCAGCAGUGGGGAAUAUUGCACAAUGGGCGCAAGCCUGAUGCAGCCAUGCCGCGUGUAUGAAGAAGGCCUUCGGGUUGUAAAGUACUUUCAGCGGGGAGGAAGGGAGUAAAGUUAAUACCUUUGCUCAUUGACGUUACCCGCAGAAGAAGCACCGGCUAACUCCGUG
rnacentral:rRNA from 1 species